rnacentral:rRNA from 1 species
GGUUAAGUUAAUAAGGGCGCACGGUGGAUGCCUUGGCACUAGGAGCCGAAGAAGGACGUGACAAACGACGAUAUGCCUUGGGUAGCUGUAAGUAAGCGAUGAUCCAGGGAUUUCCGAAUGGGGGAACCCAACAGGUACUACCUGUUACCCGCAUCUGUUAAGGAUGUGAGGAGGAAGACGCAGUGAACUGAAACAUCUAAGUAGCUGCAGGAAGAGAAAGCAAAAGCGAUUGCCUUAGUAGCGGCGAGCGAAACGGCAGGAGGGCAAACCGAAGAGUUUACUCUUCGGGGUUGUAGGACUGCAAUGUGGACUCAAAGAUUAUAGAAGAAUGAUUUGGGAAGAUCAGCCAAAGAGAGUAAUAGCCUCGUAUUUAAAAUAGUCUUUGUACCUAGCAGUAUCCUGAGUACGGCGGGACACGUGAAAUCCCGUCGGAAUCUGGGAGGACCAUCUCCCAACCCUAAAUACUC